UACGUAGGGUGCGAGCGUUAAUCGGAAUUACUGGGCGUAAAGCGUGCGCAGGCGGUUCGCCAAGUCAGAUGUGAAAGCCCCGGGCUUAACCUGGGAAUGGCAUUCGAGACUGAAUAGCUAGGGUACGGUAGAGGGAAGUGGAAUUUCCGGUGUAGCGGUGAAAUGCGUAGAUAUCGGAAGGAACAGCAGUGGCGAAAGCGACUUCCUGGACCAGUACCGACGUUCAGGCACGAAAGCGUGGGGAGCAAACAGG
rnacentral:rRNA from 1 species